GAUGAACGCUGGCGGCGUGCCUAAUACAUGCAAGUCGAGCGAACAGACGAGGAGCUUGCUCCUUCGACGUUAGCGGCGGACGGGUGAGUAACACGUAGGUCACCUACCUAUAAGACUGGGAUAACUUCGGGAAACCGGAGCUAAUACCGGAUAAUAUUUCGAACCGCAUGGUUCGAUAGUGAAAGAUGGCUUUGCUAUCACUUAUAGAUGGACCUGCGCCGUAUUAGCUAGUUGGUAAGGUAACGGCUUACCAAGGCAACGAUACGUAGCCGACCUGAGAGGGUGAUCGGCCACACUGGAACUGAGACACGGUCCAGACUCCUACGGGAGGCAGCAGUAGGGAAUCUUCCGCAAUGGGCGAAAGCCUGACGGAGCAACGCCGCGUGAGUGAUGAAGGUCUUCGGAUCGUAAAACUCUGUUAUUAGGGAAGAACAAACGUGUAAGUAACUGUGCACGUCUUGACGGUACCUAAUCAGAAAGCCACGGCUAACUACGUG
rnacentral:rRNA from 1 species